rnacentral:lncRNA from 1 species
AUUCUUUCUCUCUCUCCCCUUCAUUUUCUCUGGUUCUCAAGAUUCCUUCUCUGGAUAUGAUAUCACACCAAUCUAUGCAAAUCAAAUGGUCCAAAUCCAACCAUCAGAUAUACCCACAACUUCAAAUUCCUUGUUUUUUUUCCUCCGAUUGAAUAUAUAAUUCUCCUGUCUAUAUAUUUAUCUAUGUAAAUUCUUGAUUCUCUUUUUGUGGGUUUAUUGCUGUGCUCU